rnacentral:SRP_RNA from 1 species
GCCAGGCAUGGUAGCACAUGCCUGUAGUCCUAGCUACUCAGGAGGCUGAGGCAGGAGGAUCACUUGAGCCCAGGAGUUCGAGACUGCAGUGAGCUAUGAUUGAGCCACUGCACUCCAGCCUGGGCAACAAAGGAAGAUCCUGUCUCAA